GACCCAUUGGUAAAGGGGUAUUAUAUAUCCUUCGGGCUUCGCCGCUCGCUUCUGUCGAAGUUACUGGAUAUGGCCCGCGUUCGAGUCGCGGAUGGGUCC